rnacentral:tRNA from 1 species
GUUAGAUUGACAGAUUAAUGUAUUAAUUUUAGAAUUUAAUUAUGUAGUUUUAUAUUACAUCUAAUA